GUGCUCACUUCAGCAGCACAUGUACUAAAAUUGGAAUGAUCCAGAAAAGAUUAGCAUGGUACUUGAGCACAAAUGACACACAAAUUUGUGCAUUCCAUAUUUUA
rnacentral:snRNA from 1 species